rnacentral:rRNA from 1 species
UACGUAGGGUCCGAGCGUUGUCCGGAAUUAUUGGGCGUAAAGGGCUCGUAGGCGGUUUGUCGCGUCGGGAGUGAAAACUCAGGGCUCAACCCUGAGCGUGCUUCCGAUACGGGCAGACUAGAGGUAUGCAGGGGAGAACGGAAUUCCUGGUGUAGCGGUGGAAUGCGCAGAUAUCAGGAGGAACACCGGUGGCGAAGGCGGUUCUCUGGGCAUGACCUGACGCUGAGGAGCGAAAGCCAGGGGAGCAAACGGG